AGUGAACGCUGGCGGUAGGCCUAACACAUGCAAGUCGAACGGCAGCACAGUAAGAGCUUGCUCUUACGGGUGGCGAGUGGCGGAUGGGUGAGGAAUACAUCGGAAUCUACUUUUUCGUGGGGGAUAACGUAGGGAAACUUACGCUAAUACCGCAUACGACCUACGGGUGAAAGCAGGGGAUCUUCGGACCUUGCGCGAUUGAAUGAGCCGAUGUCGGAUUAGCUAGUUGGCGGGGUAAAGGCCCACCAAGGCGACGAUCCGUAGCUGGUCUGAGAGGAUGAUCCGCCACACUGGAACUGAGACACGGUCCAGACUCCUACGGGAGGCAGCAGUGGGGAAUAUUGGACAAUGGGCGCAAGCCUGAUCCAGCCAUACCGCGUGGGUGAAGAAGGCCUUCGGAUUGUAAAGCCCUUUUGUUGGGAAAGAAAAGCAGCAGGUUAAUACCCCGCUGUUCUGACGGUACCCAAAGAAUAAGCACCGGCUAACUUCGUG
rnacentral:rRNA from 1 species